GAUAGCUGGCGUUCCCAACAGCCCCUACACCAACACCAACGUUCAAAAAACAAGGGCAGUUUCGUCUUUUUACAGUGAUGCGGAUCUCAAAGGAAUAUGCUUUCCCAAGAAACCGAAUAUGCCAUUUUUGAAUCUGAUUUUAUCCUUUCAAACCCUAUUGCAUUUAUUUUCAUAUAAAUGCUUUCUUUUCUUUUUUCUAGAAAACCCUAGCACACAAAACACUUCUCUCUUCUCUUCAAACACAGCAGCCGGCCUCCUUCUUCUCUUCUCCUUCUUCUAUUUUCUUUGAGCAGCAAGAACAAACCCUAGCAAAGCUUUUUCUUCUCCUUCUUCUACAGCCCAGCCGAAACACCUUCUUCCUCUCUUUCUCCUUGCUGCAACAUUACUACAGCCAUGAAAACUCCUCUUUGCUACACCAAAAAAUCCCAGCCGAAACCUUAGUGUUCCUUCCUCUUCUCCUUCAAGCUCUUCAAGAGCUUUCUUACAAAACCCUACACAGAAAAAUAGACAACCAAAAAUGGUAAUAACAAAGAUAAAAUAAUCUUUGUUUGUUGAUGAGAGUAGACCCAAAAAAGUGCAGAAAAAUAAAAUGCAAAAGACAAAGAGAUUGAUUUCGGAGUUCCCCUUGAAAUCAAGAGUACAUCUCCGUCAAGCUUCCCUCAAAGACGCUUGAUUCUUCACUAUCCAAAUCAGUUUCGGGUUACAAGGAUUUUGGAGAUUCCAAGCUACAAAGUCAGCUGGUGUGUUUCAAGAGAAAAAUCACAGCUGCUCCCUUAUUUCUCUGCUGGCCGAAAUGUGAUGUUGCUGUAAAAAUGAAGGUUGUAUGUCUAUUUAUAAUGUUGAUGUUGUUGCUGGCUGUGUUUGUUUCUGAUCUGAGAAAAGACUAUAUUCUGUUGAGAUAUUUUGCCUUGAAUAGCUGAGAGUUUGUUAGAGUCUUGAGAUAUUUAUUUGCUUCCUUUUAUUGUAAAGAAAUAAAAGACCUAAGCCUAGGAAAACAGAACCGACAACUCUAUGAGUUAUAAUGGUCUGUUGAGGCUUUAUAAAGAGGUCUAUUUUAUUUUUCCUUGUAACUUUAUUUAUGGGACAAUAGUAUGGGAAUUUAUCCAACAAA